rnacentral:rRNA from 1 species
AUGUGUGUACCAAAAAAUCAAGGAGGCAUGGGCUUUCGAGACAUACAUUGUUUCAACUUGGCUUUGUUAGCCAAACAAGCAUGGCGUCUUAUUGAUAAACCGGAGUCUUUAUGUGCCACUAUCUUGAGAACUAAGUAUUUCCCUGAUGGCGACUUGAUGAGUGCAAGUUUAAAGAAAUGUUCGUCCUUUACUUGGCAAAGCAUUUUGGCGGGAGUUAACUCACUGAAAAAUGGUUAUAUCUGCAAGUUGGAAAUGGUCAGAAAAUUGAUAUUUGGAGAGAUGCAUGGAUUCCCCACAAUACAGAUAGGAAAAUUAUCACUCCUAGAAGAGGGCAACUCUUGUCAAAGGUAG